rnacentral:rRNA from 1 species
AUUGAACGCUGGCGGCAUGCCUUACACAUGCAAGUUGAACGGCAGCACGGGAGCAAUCCUGGUGGCGAGUGGCGAACGGGUGAGUAAAGUAUCGGAACGUGCCCAGUCGUGGGGGAUAACGUAGCGAAAGUUACGCUAAUACCGCAUACGAUCUACGGAUGAAAGCGGGGGAUCGCAAGACCUCGCGCGAUUGGAGCGGCUGAUAUCAGAUUAGGUAGUUGGUGGGGUAAAGGCUCACCAAGCCGACGAUCUGUAGCUGGUCUGAGAGGACGACCAGCCACACUGGGACUGAGACACGGCCCAGACUCCUACGGGAGGCAGCAGUGGGGAAUUUUGGACAAUGGGCGCAAGCCUGAUCCAGCCAUGCCGCGUGCAGGAUGAAGGCCUUCGGGUUGUAAACUGCUUUUGUACGGAACGAAAAGGUUUGGCCUAAUAAGCUGAGCUCAUGACGGUACCGUAAGAAUAAGCACCGGCUAACUACGUGCCAGCAGCCGCCGUAACAC